ACGAAGGUCCCAAGCGUUGUUCGGAAUCACUGGGCGUAAAGGGAGCGUAGGCGGCGUGGUAAGUCAGAUGUGAAAUCCCGGGGCUCAACCCCGGAACUGCAUCCGAUACUGCCGUGCUUGAGGGUUGGAGAGGUAGCUGGAAUUAUCGGUGUAGCAGUGAAAUGCGUGGAUAUCGAUAGGAACACUCGUGGCGAAGGCGAGCUACUGGACAACAUCUGACGCUGAGGCUCGAAGGCUAGGGGAGCAAAAGGGAUUAGAUACCCCUGUAGUCCUAGCAGUAAACGGUGUGCGCUUGGUGUGAGGGGAUUCGACCCCCCUUGUGCCGGAGCUAACGCGUUAAGCGCACCGCCUGGGAAGUACGGCCGCAAGGCUA
rnacentral:rRNA from 1 species